AAAGAACAGUCUGACCUGCCCACUGAAUUUUUUAAAGGCCGCGGUAUACUGACCGUGCAAAGGUAGCAUAAUAAUUAGUCUUUUAAUUGAAGACUGGAAUGAAUGGUCGGACAAGAAGUAAACUGUCUCAGCUUUAUUAAUUGAACUUAACUUUUAAGUGAAAAGGCUUAAAUAACCUCAGAAGACGAUAAGACCCUAUAAAACUUCAUAUUCUUAGUUUUAAACUUAUUUUUAUUUGUUUAGAAAAUGUUUUAUUCUGAGUGUAUUUCGUUGGGGCGACGAAAAUAUAAUAAUUAACUGUUUUUUUUUUCCAUACAAAUAUUUUUGUAAAAAUGAUCCCCUUCAGGAUAAAAAGAAAAAGUUACUUUAGGGAUAACAGCGUAAUUUAUCUUAAGAGUUCUUAUCGACAGAUAAGUUUGCGACCUCGAUGUUGAAUUAAGUUUCCCUUAUAGUGCAGGAGCUACAAAGGUAGGUCUGUUCG
rnacentral:rRNA from 1 species